AAUGAUGGGUAACUGGGGCUGGAUUUUGCUAACGGAGUUUCCCAGUUGGUGACGCGUUGUUGACAGCUGGCAUUUGAUUCACAGAACUU